rnacentral:rRNA from 3 species
UUUUAUGGAGAGUUUGAUCCUGGCUCAGGAUGAACGCUGGCGGCGUGCCUAAUACAUGCAAGUCGAGCGAACGGACGAGAAGCUUGCUUCUCUGAUGUUAGCGGCGGACGGGUGAGUAACACGUGGAUAACCUACCUAUAAGACUGGGAUAACUUCGGGAAACCGGAGCUAAUACCGGAUAAUAUUUUGAACCGCAUGGUUCAAAAGUGAAAGACGGUCUUGCUGUCACUUAUAGAUGGAUCCGCGCUGCAUUAGCUAGUUGGUAAGGUAACGGCUUACCAAGGCAACGAUGCAUAGC